CGAAAGCCGCUGCUCCAAAGUUGGGUGUUCAGCGAAUCGAUCGGACAUCAUCAUCCGGGUCAUAGUUACGGAGAAGAAGACAGUUGGAGAAUGUAAGAUAGACUAAGAUAAUUCUUUUGAUUUCCCGGAUUUCUUUGGGGGCUUCUUUUCAUUUGAUUUUGCGACAUUCCUUACUAGUGUUUGCUUGGAUAAAUCAUCCAGUGUUAUAAGGCUUCGGG
rnacentral:misc_RNA from 1 species